AGCUGUGAGGGCUUUUCCGUUUGCUCCUCACGAUAGGAAAACUGAUUCACAGGGACUGUUGUUCAUUGCAUUCGAAUCGAUUGCGACUCGGAAUGACCCCGUGCACUGCAGUGCAGACCUGAGCUCCAUAGUGUUUUCAAGGCCGCGACCUCUCGGAAGCAGACCCCCAAGCCUGUCUUCCCAGGACUUAAAGCACACACAACAUUUAGUUGCUGGCAUAAACAAACAAUCCGGAUCACCACCACGGAUUUACGGCCAGAGAAAAACAGCCUGACGUAGCAACAGGAACACUAGCUGUACAGCCAGAUGUGCUACACUGAUGAAGCCAGAGCCCUGG